GGAUGAACGCUGGCGGCGUGCCUAAUACAUGCAAGUCGAGCGAACAGACGAGGAGCUUGCUCCUCUGACGUUAGCGGCGGACGGGUGAGUAACACGUGGAUAUCCUACCUAUAAGACUGGGAUAACUUCGGGAAACCGGAGCUAAUACCGGAUAAUAUAUUGAACCGCAUGGUUCAAUAGUGAAAGACGGUUUUGCUGUCACUUAUAGAUGGAUCCGCGCCGCAUUAGCUAGUUGGUAAGGUAACGGCUUACCAAGGCAACGAUGCGUAGCCGACCUGAGAGGGUGAUCGGCCACACUGGAACUGAGACACGGUCCAGACUCCUACGGGAGGCAGCAGUAGGGAAUCUUCCGCAAUGGGCGAAAGCCUGACGGAGCAACGCCGCGUGAGUGAUGAAGGUCUUCGGAUCGUAAAACUCUGUUAUUAGGGAAGAACAAAUGUGUAAGUAACUAUGCACGUCUUGACGGUACCUAAUCAGAAAGCCACGGCUAACUACGUG
rnacentral:rRNA from 1 species